rnacentral:rRNA from 1 species
AGUGAACGCUGGCGGUAGGCCUAACACAUGCAAGUCGAACGGCAGCACAGUAAGAGCUUGCUCUUACGGGUGGCGAGUGGCGGACGGGUGAGGAAUACAUCGGAAUCUACUUUUUCGUGGGGGAUAACGUAGGGAAACUUACGCUAAUACCGCAUACGACCUACGGGUGAAAGCAGGGGAUCUUCGGACCUUGCGCGAUCGAAUGAGCCGAUGUCGGAUUAGCUAGUUGGCGGGGUAAAGGCCCACCAAGGCGACGAUCCGUAGCUGGUCUGAGAGGAUGAUCAGCCACACUGGAAUUGAGACACGGUCCAGACUCCUACGGGAGGCAGCAGUGGGGAAUAUUGGACAAUGGGCGCAAGCCUGAUCCAGCCAUACCGCGUGGGUGAAGAAGGCCUUCGGGUUGUAAAGCCCUUUUGUUGGGAAAGAAAAGCAGCAGGUUAAUACCCCGCUGUUCUGACGGUACCCAAAGAAUAAGCACCGGCUAACUUCGUG